rnacentral:rRNA from 1 species
CCGGCACGGGUGGAGUAACACGUAUCCAACCUGCCGUCUACUCUUGGACAGCCUUCUGAAAGGAAGAUUAAUACAAGAUGGCAUCAUGAGUCCGCAUGUUCACAUGAUUAAAGGUAUUCCGGUAGACGAUGGGGAUGCGUUCCAUUAGAUAGUAGGCGGGGUAACGGCCCACCUAGUCUUCGAUGGAUAGGGGUUCUGAGAGGAAGGUCCCCCACAUUGGAACUGAGACACGGUCCAA